UACGUAGGGUGCAAGCGUUGUCCGGAAUUAUUGGGCGUAAAGAGCUCGUAGGCGGUUUGUCGCGUCGAAUGUGAAAACCCGGGGGCUCAACCCCGGGCCUGCAUUCGAUACGGGCAGACUAGAGUUCGGUAGGGGAGUCUGGAAUUCCUGGGUGUAGCGGUGAAAUGCGCAGAUAUCAGGAGGAACACCGGUGGCGAAGGCGGGACUCUGGGCCGAUACUGACGCUGGAGGAGCGAAAGCGUGGGGAGCAAACAGG
rnacentral:rRNA from 1 species